rnacentral:rRNA from 1 species
GACGAACGCUGGCGGCGUGCUUAACACAUGCAAGUCGAACGGUGAAGCGCCUUCCUUUUUGGUGGGUGUGGAUGAGCGGCGAACGGGUGAGUAACACGUGAGUAACCUGCCCCCUUCUUCUGGAUAACCGCAUGAAAGUGUGGCUAAUACGGGAUAUUCUGGGUCUGUCGCAUGAUGGGUCUGGGAAAGAUAUUGUUUCGGUGGGGGAUGGGCUCGCGGCCUAUCAGCUUGUUGGUGGGGUGAUGGCCUACCAAGGCGGUGACGGGUAGCCGGCCUGAGAGGGUGGACGGCCACACUGGGGCUGAGACACGGCCCAGACUCCUACGGGAGGCAGCAGUGGGGAAUAUUGCACAAUGGGCGCAAGCCUGAUGCAGCGACGCCGCGUGAGGGAUGGAGGCCUUCGGGUUGUGAACCUCUUUCGCCAGUGAAGCAGGCCUGCCUCGUUUGUGGGUGGGUUGACGGUAGCUGGAUAAGAAGCGCCGGCUAACUACGUG